AGUGGAACUUUCCCCAGACCUGGGGACUGAGAGCAUCUCCCAUCCCUCAGGUCUGUUCUAGGGACUAAGGAUGCUAAAAAGAGUGAGACCCGGGCUGUGCCCCGUGGAAGUGUGGCGUUCAGCCAGCGGAGAGAGUGAACCAGAGACUCAGACAGAUGACUGACUUCUCCAUGUGACCCAGUGGCUGUUCCAGGAUCUGAACCCUGGUCAGCCUGACUCCCAACGCCAGAGUCCUCCACUCAGAGGUGGGCAUAUGCCUACCUGGAUGUGGCUGAUGACGAAGAUCAGUGUUCUUGGAUUAUUCAACCUGUUGAGGGUUAGUCUCAAGUCACUGUCAGGGGCAGUGUGGCAAUUCCACGGGUUCUCCCUCUACGUCAGGAUGGCGCAAACAGGUGUCAACGAAUUCUCUCUCUGUAAAAGGAAUCCAA
rnacentral:lncRNA from 1 species